UCUUUGUGCUGAAGUUGGCUGGCUCUCGGAGGAGUGAAUGUUAUUUUGGGUUCCUUGAUUUCCUUGGGAGGAUAUAGUCUUGGGUGAUUGGAUCUUCUAAACCAGUAUUCAUUGCAGAAAAGCUCUCCUCCAAGACUCACCAGAGAGCAUUCGGUGUUCUCAUCUGUCAGCAAGUGUGCGUGGAGCACCUGUGUACCAGAUUCUGUCCGGUCCUAGGGGUGUGAUGGGGAAGAAACAGGCAAGAGCCCCAUUCUUCUACAUUCUUGCAGGGAGACACUGCAAUGCACAAGUAAGCGCAUGAAUAAAGGACGCAGAGAUGGUGACCAGUGCCAGGAAGGAGGACCUCUAGAGAGGAGCUGGAGAAGGAUGGAGAGGGACACCGAUGGUGAAAGGCACAGAAUCGCAAUAGCUGGCCAGGUCAGCAGGGCAUCUUCCUGUGUGAUUGGCCAAAGCCUGUUUUGUUCCUUAGCAGGUCAGAGGGCAAACUCCUGCAAGCUCCUUCUAAAGCCCUCUGACGGUCUGGAAAGGAGCAAGGUGGUGAAUUCAGCACUUGGCCAGGG
ensembl:lncRNA